UACGGAGGGAGCUAGCGUUGUUCGGAAUUACUGGGCGUAAAGGGAGCGUAGGCGGCGCGGUAAGUCAGAUGUGAAAUCCCGGGGCUCAACCCCGGAACUGCAUCCGAUACUGCCGUGCUAGAGUAAUGGAGGGGUAGCUGGAAUUCUCGGUGUAGCAGUGAAAUGCGUAGAUAUCGAUAGGAACACUCGUGGCGAAAGCGAGCUACUGGACAUUUACUGACGCUGAGGCUCGAAGGCUAGGGGAGCGAAAGGG
rnacentral:rRNA from 1 species